GGAGGUUAGCUUAGUGAUAGAACAUCUGCUUUGCAUGCAGAAGUCCUCAGGUUCAAUCUCCAGCAUCUCCA